AGAUACUCUUAUGUUGGUAGGAAAAAGGCAACCUGCAGAAUCAUUGGAUUUUAAAAGAUUAAAUUUUGCAGCAGAUUUGGUUUUGAAGAAUUCUCUAUGCUGUGGGUUUGAACAAAAGGAGUUCCCAAGCUCCUUUCUUUCUCAAAUGCUAGAAGGUAUUGGGAGGAACUCCCCCAUUCAGGCUCUUCCAGCUGGGAUUCUCACAAGCAGCACAGAGGAGAACAAAUAGAAUGUGAAGCCAGCUACUGGAAAGAGAGGUUUAAUCAUGGAGAUUAAAAUUGAGUGACAAUUCAGCAUGAAUCCCCGGCUAGCUAGACAGAAUGGUCCUCAAACUCUACCAAAGUCCACGUGAGUUGCCUGUGAGAGACUGAGCACCAUCACCCCACGUGAACUGCUGUUGCUAGAGAUUGACUACCAUUAUCUCCUGCAAGCUGCUGCUGUCAGAAACCAAUAACUAUUACUUCACAUGAGCUGCUGCUGCCAGAGACUGACCACCAUCAUCUCACGCAAGCUGCUGUUGCUAGAGAUUGACCACCAUCAUCUCAUGAAAGCUGACCACCAUCACCUCAUGCAAGCUGCUGUUGCCAGAGACUGACCAUCAUCAUCUAAUGUGAACUGCUGUUCCCAAAGAUUAACUACCAUCUCACGCAAGCUGCUAUUGCUAGAAACUGACCAUUAUCAUCUCACGCAAGCUGCUGUUGCAAGAGAUUGACCACCAUCAUCUCAUGAAAGCUGACCACCAUCACCUCAUGAAAGCUGCUGUUGCCAGAGACUGACCACCAUCAUCUAAUGUGAACUGCUGUUCCCAAAGAUUAACUACCAUUUCACACAAGCUGCUAUUGCCAGAAACUGACCAUUAACAUCUUGUGCAAGCUGCUGCUGCCAGAGAUUGACCACUGUUAAAUCCGUGGGUUAAAAGCAUUGCGAGGAAACAAAUGGUGUAACAGAACUGUCGCUACAUGAGUAAUGCCCAACGUAUCCCAUAUGUAUUCCAACGUAUCCCGGAGCUGGAAGACCAGCGGAAAGGAGAGCCCCGGAGACGGAGCCAGCCAGUCACCAUUGCCGCAUCGGCACCGCCCAGCUGGAACCUUGCGGGAGGACCGCCACCGCCAGAGGACGACUGUAGAGGGAGGAGGAGAAACACUAGGCCCUUCUCUCCUCGUGGCCUCUGGCGGGCUACACCCUUUCAUCGUGUGGCCAUGUUUGUCAGUCCGGCCUUGCGAGACCAGUGGGGCUGCCAUGCACCAUGGGGGGCCUGGCUGGCACCAUCCUGUUGUCAUUGCUGCUGCUGCUGCGGGGGGGGGGGGCUGGCCCUUUGUGACUCUUGACCUUGAUUCUCAGAAUCUUUUAGCUAGUGUAUGCUGACUGUAUGAUUGUUUUUUAACCUUUUUUAGUUUAUUGUAUUAGGGUGUGUCUCUGGAUGAAGCGGAUUAUCUAGACCCUUUUCAAUCUGGCUUCAGGCCCGGCUUCAGCACAGAAAC